GUAGUUUCUCUUUCUCUCUACAUUGAUAGCCAAGCAGCCGCCAUAUCAUUAAACUUAAACAUUUGUUCAAAAAUGGUACUGAAUUGCAAAACUAAACUAAACAGAUUAGGUGCGCAUAGCAAGGCUACACUCUACUGGAUCACACACAGGAGUAGGGGCAAAAUGUAGAAGCAGACCCUUGUAAGGAAAAAGGCUGUUACACUGCUGAUACGUUCUGAGCUCUUGUGUAGUUUAAGGAUUCACAUUAUCGAUGAGCAUCUUAAGAAAGAAGACAUGAUGAAACAAUGGAAUUUUCUCACUGGACAUAAACAUGAUUACCUUAGAUUCCUAGCAGGGGGUACUACAGACUGAACUUGACAUUUGAAGUAGAUUAGUCUCCCAACACACUAAAAGACUGUAGUGUUACACUUAAUCGGAGGAUGAAAUGCUUUGAAAUGUACCAACUGACUGUAAAGCUACCAAGAUUCAGAUCGACCAAGUAUAGCGAACAGCAGGGCUCUACCAGCCAAAACUGGGACCAUUUUAGAUAGAUAUUGGCAGUUAUUACAUUUUUAAUUUUAUACACAUUUGCUUCAUUUUUCAAGACCAUACCCUAUCCAGGGUUCGUGAAAGCACCUUAUACUAAUCCCAACAAUUUUUCAAGCCUAAGUCCAUGCAAUACAACUCUGUGCACAAGAUUUAAUAAAGAAAAAUAUGAAAGCCAGGACCACACCUUCCACACAAUAUUAUAUGGCAUAACAUAGCCAGAAUGGUAGUUGGACUGCAGAGACAUGUACAGUGUCAGAGUGGCAGAAACAAGCCUGGGCCAGAAAGAAGGAAGAAACAGCAGAACAUCGGAACUUGUCUUUUGUUGGUGCGAAGGAUUAUGCAGGCUACUCCUAGGAGAGGAAAAGCCAAGGCCAACUGGAUUCCAUGACAAAGCUGUGUGAUCUAAUAAAAGUGUCAAGCUUAACUAAGAGCUCUAAAUUAAUAACAAAGAAUGCACUAUAGAUAUAAGGUCGUAAAAAGGCCAUCACUUUUUAACUUUAAUAUUAGUCAAUCAAACUAAUUGCUAUUAUUAAGAAAAACGAAAGUAUGAACAUUUAUGUUAGGUUUUUAUCUAAUUA